rnacentral:lncRNA from 1 species
CUUGUUAUAAAUGAAUAUAGUUGACGAUAUAUGUGAGAUAAUAAACACGUACGUUGUCGACACAUUCUUGUGAACAUUAUCAUCUAUAUAUAUAUAUACAUCUCUACUUUUCCAAAGUUUUUUUAGGAAAUUAUAUAACAAAUAAAAUAUUAAACCAUGAGGGCUUUUUCGUUUUUUGGCAACAAACAAACCGUGAGUCUCUUGAUGAGAAAAAAAUAUGAUUACUCAAUCGUGAAUAAAAGCUUGAAGGCAAUAUAAAAAACUUUGGAAUAAAUUUUGUGUAAGAAAGACAAUGUAAAAAACAUUUCACAUGGGAUUGUCUAUAGAUAAUACGGCAAAUUUAAGAUGCCACUUUGAAUUUCAGCCGACAUGAAAUGAUGAAAUUUGAAUUUAGUAUUGUUAAUUUAUAAAUUUAAGUAGGAAAACCCUAGAAAACCGACAUCUUUGGUCAAGCCAACAACAAGACAUAGUUAGAAAAAAAAAGCUAAUUUGAAAGUUGUUUUUGUUCUUCUGGUUUCGAAAACAUAACGUGUAUGAACCCAAUUUAAAUCCGGCCCACUAAAUGUAUAAAUAUCACAGCUCCAGUUGUUUUCACAUUGAUUUUCCUAAGAAUUUG